rnacentral:miRNA from 2 species
UAUCGUAUCCUAGGUUGGUUU